rnacentral:rRNA from 1 species
GACGAACGCUGGCGGCGUGCUUAACACAUGCAAGUCGAGCGGUAAGGCCCUUUCGGGGGUACACGAGCGGCGAACGGGUGAGUAACACGUGGGUGACCUGCCCUCAGCUCUGGGAUAAGCCUGGGAAACCGGGUCUAAUACUGGAUAUGACUCCAUGACGCCUGUUGUGGGGUGGAAAGCCUUGUGCGGCUGAGGAUGGGCCCGCGGCCUAUCAGCUUGUUGGUGGGGUGAUGGCCUACCAAGGCGACGACGGGUAGCCGGCCUGAGAGGGCGACCGGCCACACUGGGACUGAGACACGGCCCAGACUCCUACGGGAGGCAGCAGUGGGGAAUCUUGCGCAAUGGGCGAAAGCCUGACGCAGCGACGCCGCGUGAGGGAUGACGGCCUGGUGUAACGUACUU